rnacentral:piRNA from 1 species
ACUGCUGCUGUAGCCAAUUUGACUCUCAU